AGCCCACCCUAGCUCCACCAACCAUAAUCAAAAAUCCACUUCCCCACCUUAACUAAAACAUUACCCCCAACUUAGUAUAGGCGAUAGAAAAGUACAACCCGGACGCCAUAGAGAUAGUACCGCAAGGGAAAGAUGAAAUAAUAAUGAAAACCAAGCACUACACAGCAAAGAUAACCCCUUGUACCUUUUGCAUCAUGAUCUAGCAAGAACAACCAGACAAAGCGAACUUAAGCCUGGCACCCCCAAACCAAGCGAGUUAUUAAAAGGAAGUUGUACGAGCUUACCCCGUCUCUGGUGG
rnacentral:rRNA from 1 species